AGCGAACGCUGGCGGCAGGCCUAACACAUGCAAGUCGAACGAACCCUUCGGGGUUAGUGGCGGACGGGUGAGUAACACGUGGGAACGUGCACUUAGGUUCGGAAUAACUCAGGGAAACUCGUGCUAAUACCGAAUGUGCUCUUCGGGGGAAAGAUUUAUCGCGUUUAGGGCGGCGCGCGUCUGGUUAGCUAGUUGGGGAGGUAAUGGCUAACAAAGGCUACGAUCAGGAGCUGGUAUGAGAGGAUGACCAGCCACAUUGGGACUGAGACACGGCCCAAACGCCUGCGGGAGGCAGCAGUGGGGAAUCUUGCGCAAUGGGCGAAAGCCUGACGCAGCCAUGCCGCGUGGAUGAUGAAGGUCUUAGGAUUGUAAAAUCCUUUCACCGGUGAAGAUAAUGACUGUAGCCGGAGAAGAAGCCCCGGCUAACUUCGUGCCAGCAGCCGCGGUAACAC
rnacentral:rRNA from 1 species